GACGAACGCUGGCGGCGUGCCUAAUACAUGCAAGUUGAGCGCUGAAGGUUGGUACUUGUACCAACUGGAUGAGCAGCGAACGGGUGAGUAACGCGUGGGGAAUCUGCCUUUGAGCGGGGGACAACAUUUGGAAACGAAUGCUAAUACCGCAUAAAAACUUUAAACACAAGUUUUAAGUUUGAAAGAUGCAAUUGCAUCACUCAAAGAUGAUCCCGCGUUGUAUUAGCUAGUUGGUGAGGUAAAGGCUCACCAAGGCGAUGAUACAUAGCCGACCUGAGAGGGUGUUCGGCCACAUUGGGACUGAGACACGGCCCAAACUCCUACGGGAGGCAGCAGUAGGGAAUCUUCGGCCAUGGACGAAAGUCUGACCGAGCCACGCCGCGGGAGUGAAGAAGGUUUUCGGAUCGUAAAACUCUGUUGGUAGAGAAGAACGUUGGUGAGAGUGGAAAGCUCAUCAAGUGACGGUAACUACCCAGAAAGGGACGGCUAACUACGUG
rnacentral:rRNA from 1 species